GAAUCUACUAUCUACCUGAAGCCUUUCUUCAUUAUCCUAAAUCUUCUUCCCUAAAAACAACUUGUAUUAAUUUUCUAUAUAAGGAUAUGUACAGGACCAAUGAUUUCAUUGACUACAGAGAACUCUAAGAACUUCUUCAUAUAGUUUCCUAUCCAUCUUGGGCUGACUUCUCUAUAGAAUUUUUAUCAGAAAUGGAAUGUUUUAUUCAUGGAAAAGCCAGAAGGCCAGUGUCACUACAUAGAAGAAUUUGUUUUGGUGAGUAAGAGAUCUGUGACCUUCCAUUUGAACUGACUUGAAAAGGCUGUUAUUUCACCCAUGAUACAAAUUUUGGAAUCAUAUAUAAAUUAAAAGACAGAAAUCUAUUGCAGUGAUGAUAGCAGAACCUACCUUUUGAUUCCUUCAAAGGUGGGUGCCCAAUAAAAU